rnacentral:lncRNA from 15 species
AUGGCAGCAGCGUGCAGGAGUCCAGUCAUACUGGAAUCCAGUGAGGUUGUGGCAGUUGGGAGUGAUACCAAGAUAAACAGUCAUCACUUCCUGAAAGCAGUCGUACGUGUGGUGCCACUGAAGCCGGCCGAGCUGAAUGGAGAGCGAGCAGAAAAGAAAACAGGCCUUUCAGCCAGAGGAUCAACUUUGACAGCAGUUGGUCGGCUGCCAGCAGCUCGAGUUCACCGAGUUUGUUUCCUCCAUUCAAAGAGAGAGAGAGAGAGAGAAAGAGGGGGGAGACAUUUUUAUAUUGCCUCCCUCUCUCUCUCUCUCUCUCUCUCUCUCAGACACACCUCUCUCUCUCUGAGAGGAAUGUGAGGAGGUUGCACAUGGCAGGAAGUAAUAUCAAAGGAUUUAUUUGUUGCUGCGGUGGGAGCCUGCGGGGCCUGUGUUGUAAACAGAAACAUAAUCACAGCCUCAAUUAUAAAGAGCAAAUUGAAUAGAAAAGUUAUUGUUGUGUUGUUAAAACAUGUUCCUGAGGCCGGCUGAGGGUCGCUCAGCUGACGGGCAGCACUACUACAACACGUCUCUUUCACACAGGGGGGACAGCAGUGCAUGCUACAUGCUAACUCCCCUGACUAAUACUGGGAACAGUUUGUGUUUGUUUCUUUCAACAUGACAAAGCCCCCGAGCACACAGCAGUAUGGACCUCGACCCCUCCGCCGGCCGCGAGUCAGACCGGAUCACCCGACAUCAUGACUGCGUUUUUAUUUAAUUAGUGGACAGAGUCUGUGAAGAGAAGCCAGUAGGUGUCUUAAACCUGCAGUCCUCCUAACAACCAGCAGGGGGCAGCUCCACUGGUUGCAAUAACACACCGAUACCAUUCAGUCUUAUGGAGAAAUGAGUCGACUUCUCAGCUGAUGUAUGAGCUCAGUAAACAGUUUCCUGAUGAGUUUCUGGUCUCAGUCUCUAGUUUCAGUCUUCUUCCAUACAGCAUGAUGUUCAUUUAGUAACUGAUGGUCCCAUUUAGAGUAAAACAGACCAUAAAGCAGGGUAUGCUUUAGGGCGGGGCUACCUUGUGAUUGACAGCUCAUUCUCAGUGAGUCCGUCCAGCUCAACGCACCAAACUUUCACAAACAUAUUUUACUAUUUAUCUGUAAAAUGAGCUUGUGUGUGAGCAGGCGAGGCGCCAUUGUGUCCUGCUAUGAUUUGAAACAAAACAGUUAAAUUAACUCAUCUGGUGAUUUACACUAAUAAAAACAGACUUAUGAAUAUUGUAUUCCAUUUCUUCAUGUAGUAAACGUAGGAAAAGAUCAUGUAUUAACCAUUUGUUGCCACCAGUGUCACUUAUAAAUAAACUUUGGUUGUUGUUUUUUUUUACUUUAGUCAGACAAUCAGUUGGAAACAAAACUGCCGGUUAGUUAAACAGAGUCGAGCAAUAAACUAUAAACACGUAUGACAGUUUACAGGCCGACUACCUGCUUCACCUUUCACCUACUUUUCCUACUGUGCACACAGUUGUUCUGUGCACUGAGGGAUUAUUGCGACAGUUAAGGUGUGCUCACUUUCAGUUUUACCUUCCCCAGAAAGUGCUACAGGUAGUUCUUAUAUACUUAAAUAAACUAAAAUUACUUUUAUUUCUUUUUAUUUCAUAAGGUUGAAAGUUGUUUGAGGUGUUUGCAAACAUGUUAAACUGUCAUAAAGUCGGCUCAUUUAAAUAAAGGAUCAAAC